AUGAACUUGCAAGAACGGCGGCUCGCCUCAGUUGAUCAGGUCGGAGACCCAGCCGACGUCGGGGCCUCCCGCUCCGGCACCGACGACCUCGCAGCUGCGGGGCGCGGCACCGUCUCGGCUCAGCCGCUCGAACACCUUCUCCCGGAGCGCCCUCCCGGACUCCACCCUCUGGACUGGCUCCUCGUCGUCGAUGAAGCGGAGGUUCAGUGGCUCCAGGUUGGCCAUGAAGCUGGAAGCGCUAGUCUGGGUGCCCAUGGGGGUGGUGGGGAGGCUGUAGAGGCCGGCGGCCUUGGGCGAGCCGUAGGCAGCAGGGGAGGUGGGGUAGCCGGACCAUCCACCGGACGGGGACGCCUGCGCCUUGGCGAGGCGCAGCUGGCGGAGCGAGGCGAGGACGUCAUUGACGGGCGACCCGACACCGGGCCAAGAACCGCGGCGAUAGGAGGCGGCCCCGUCGGGAGACAAUGGCGGCGACUCGGAGGGGGGCGACUUGGGCGGCGAGGAGAGCAGGGUGCUGGUGGGCGAGGAGGACAUGAUGCUCUUGCUGAGGUAGCUCUCGAACGCCUGGCGGCGGAGCGGCGAGCCGUCGUAGGACUCGGCGAGCGGCGACAGGGGCGUGCUCCUGGGGCUGGAGUGCUGGGACGGCAUGGCACGGAGCUGGUCCGGGGUGUGCGCGAAGAAGCAGACGCGGCGGCGGCAGGCGGUGCCGUCCUUGCAGGGCUGCGUGCGGUAGCGCGCCGGGUGGAGCCAGCACUCGAAGACGCCGUGCGCGUACUCGCAGGCGUCCCCGCGCUUGCACCCGCCCUUGCGGAAGUCCGGGCAGGCGGUGCCGGAGUAGUGGUACUUGCGCGGGUCGCGGCGGCGCGCCUUCUCCCCCGGGUGCGCGAAGGGGCACUCGGUCCAGUCGUGGCUGCGGCCGCGCGCGCACCGGCGCACCUUGAAGUCGUACAUGCGGAACUCGUCGCAGGCGUAGGCGUCCACCGCCGCCGCCAUGGCCGCCGCCUCGUCCUCGUCCUCCGCGGCGCCCGCGCCCGCGCCGACAAGGUCGUUGCACGGCAGGUACUGGCGCAGCGCCGCGAACAGGAACGGCGUCUCGUCGCCUCCGCCGCCGGCGUCGACGCCGCUCACCGGGAGGUGGUUGCCCCACGGCGGCACGCUCACUCCCUCGCUCAUCAUCAUCAUGGCUGUAUGCUGGCUGCUCUGCUCGCUCUGCUCUAUGGGAAGAAGAGAUCUGCUAGUGGAGGACUGAGGCUGAGGCCUGUGGGUGGGUGUGGGACGGGUUGUGGAGAAGAACACCAAGCGGCGCGCGCUUAUAAACACCCAGGCCACGGGCGGAGUAGCAACGCGGUCGUACGAACUAACUGGCGCCGUUUGUGGGCAGCCACUCCGAGCACCUCACUGACACGUGGUCCCCACUAUAGGCUCAGGGCCCAGCGUCAGCGAGAGGGGAUGACGGGAGGCGGGGAUAAAGGCGCGGUACGGAGCGUUACACGCGGCGGGCGGGGAGGCAGGGUGUCAGGCAGGCGGGAGGCGAGGUGGCUCGAGGGGGCGUUGGGCCGGGGACACGUCGUGGCGUGGGGAGGGGAGGGAGCCCUACGAUCUUUAUUUAUUUUUGCCCUACGUGUAUAG
rnacentral:rRNA from 1 species